CUAAAUUAAUUUACGUACACUAAAAUGGAACAAUAUAGAGAAGAUUAGCGUGGCCUCUGGACAGACAUGACACGCCAAUUCGUGAAGGGAUCCAUAUUUUU